GACGAACGCUGGCGGCGUGCUUAACACAUGCAAGUCGAACGAAGUGGCGCAAGGGUGAGUAAUAUAUAGUUAAUCUGCCCUACACAGAGGAACAAACGUUGGAAACGACUGCUAAUACCUCAUAGUGUAGGAUGAGACUAUAUCGUAUCAGCGAUUUGGUAAGGUAAUGGCUUACCAAGGCUAUGACGCGGAACUGGUCUGAGAGGAUGAUCAGUCGCAUUGGAACUGAGGCACGGUCCAAGCACCGUCGGGAGGCAGCAGUAAGGAAUAUUUCGCAAUGGGGGAAUCCCUGGCGCGGCAACGCCGCGUGGAGGAUGACACUUUUCGGAGCGUAGACGCCUUUUAUCAGGAAGGCGGUACCUACUGAAUAAGCACCGGCUAACUCCGUGCCAGCAGCCGCGGUAAUAC
rnacentral:rRNA from 1 species